rnacentral:lncRNA from 1 species
UCAUCGGCCGCCGAUCACCGGUUUCUCUCUUCACAAGCGCCGGCGCUGUAUAUUUGAUUCCUCCCGAUGUCUCUGCGGGCGCCGUCAAAUUACUCAGUCGGAAUCCAGCAUCCAAACGUUUCUUGGAUAUGGAAACUAACUAGGUGAUCCUAUUCAUUCUUCAGGUGUGCUUGGAAGCAAAAACACAAAAACACGUGGGAAGAACAAGCCGCCAACAACGAAAGAAAAUCUCUA